GACGUAGGGCGCGAGCGUUGUCCGGAUUUAUUGGGCGUAAAGAGCUCGUAGGCGGUCUGUCGCGUCGGAUGUGAAAAUCCAGGGCUCAACCCUGGACCUGCAUUCGAUACGGGCAGACUAGAGUUCGGGUAGGGGAGACUGGAAUUCCUGGUGUAGCGGUGAAAUGCGCAGAUAUCAGGAGGAACACCGGUGGCGAAGGCGGCUUGCCUGGGCCUUACCUGACGCUGAGGAGCGAAAGCGUGGGGAGCGAACGG
rnacentral:rRNA from 1 species